GACGAACGCUGGCGGCGUGCCUAAUACAUGCAAGUCGAACGCAGUGGGGACGGGUGAGUAACACGUGGGUAACCUCCCAUCAGAGGGGAUAACACUUGGAAACAGGUGCUAAACCGAUACUGAUGGCUGGUCCCGCGGUGCAUUAGUUGGUUGGUGAGGUAACGGCUCACCAAGGCCACGAUGCAUAGCCGCCGUGGGAGUGUGAUCGGACACCCUGAGACUGAGACACGGCCCAGACUCCUACGGGAGGGCGCAGUAGGGAAUCUGCGGCAAGGGACGAAAGUCGGACCGAGCAACGCCGCGUGAGGGAAGAGGGUUUUCGGUUCUUAAAUCUCUGUUGUUAGAGAAGCGGUAUCUAACCAGAAAGCCACGGCUAACUUCGUGCCAGCACCGCGGUAAUAC
rnacentral:rRNA from 1 species